GCAAAACUCGUUUCAUCAAGGAUGUGUGAUCAUUGGCGAUACCUCUUCAAGUAGUCUUGCUAUCGCACGACCCCGGACAAUACAGUCCAGAAAACGGAAAGAGAUGAAAAUGGCAUGUAACAGAUUAACCAACAACAGACUAUUACAAAAAACCCAUCACCACCCUCACUCCAACCAACCCCAUCCCAACACUGACCACCCAGCCCAUCUUCGUCCUCCCCGAACUUGGAUCCACCUUUCGCUUCGCUGCACUCCAAUUCACCCAUCCCUGUCCGCUGCUGCCACCGGCUGUGGUCAUGCGCGUGAUCGCGGCAACUCUGGAUCCAUCUGCAGGGGUUUUGGUGGUCGCUACCCCAGCGACGGCUGCGUUGUUCACGUGUGUCCAUGCAUUUCCCCUGUUCGAAACAUCGGUCGACCAUCCAUCAUUUCCCGCCGAGCUCGAUGCCGGUCUAUCGCUCUCAUUCAAAGCUACACUUUUACUCGCAGCUUCACACGCUUCACAUCCUCCAUCACUACCACUCCCUCCUCCAUACACGGUCAUUGCGCCUUGAUAGGUAUAACCCCCAUAACUCCCCUCACUCUCCACCCAAUAACUCAUCCAACUUACCGUAAACUGCACCACACUCUCCACCGGGGCAGAGUACACCACGGGCGUCGGUGAAUACUCGAUGAUGUACACUGUCCCUUUACUCGUUUUGGUAGAUGUGAUAGUUUCGGUAGAGUAGAUGGUAGAGGUAAGGGUGGUGGAGGAGGUGGUGAUGGUGGUGAUGUAGCAGGGGACAGAGGUGGUGGAGAGGAUGGUGGAGGUGACGACAUCGGCUGUGAGGGUGGAUUCGUCGCCGGGACCGCCGCAGCCGCCCGAGGUACAGCGUUCUUCCAGCUGGAUCAGGGUAGGUGCUGGUGUGGGUGUGGGUGUGGGUGUUGGGGAGGGGAAAGAGGUGAAAGUGAUGGAAGGAGUAGCGGGCGAUGUGGCUAGAGUAAGUGGGAAGAGCAGAAGGAGGAUUAGUAGGUGCAUAGUUAGUGUCGAGAUUUUAAAGGUGUCGUUAGUGAUGGUAUUAGUGG
rnacentral:sRNA from 1 species